CUGAGGGUUUGACCUGCUGAUGGUUGGAGUGACCUGAAGAUCCAACAGCGGAGGAAGAGUGUGAAAUCAACUGUUUACGGUACUUUGCUGAAACCCAACACAUAAGACCCUCAGGGUCUUUUUUUUUCCCACCACGUUUGCAAAAUUGACCUGAGUGGCAGCAGCUCCAGGUUGUUAGCAGUCCGUAUCUGUCUCCUGCUGGUUGGCAGAGAUUGGACAGAAUCAGCCUUUCAGAAGAAAGAAACUGCGAAACGUCGGGGUAAAGCCUCUCAAAAACAU